GGGCGCAUAGCGCAGUGGUAGCGCGUCCGCUUUGCAAGCGGAAGGCCCCGGGUUCAAUCUCCGGUGUGUCCA
rfam:Phytophthora infestans T30-4 supercont1.25 genomic scaffold, whole genome shotgun sequence.